rnacentral:rRNA from 1 species
AGAUUGAACGCUGGCGGCAUGCCUUACACAUGCAAGUCGAACGGCAGCACGGGAGCAAUCCUGGUGGCGAGUGGCGAACGGGUGAGUAAUACAUCGGAACGUGCCCAAUCGUGGGGGAUAGCGCAGCGAAAGCUGUGCUAAUACCGCAUAAGAUCUACGGAUGAAAGCAGGGGAUCGCAAGACCUUGCGCGAAUGGAGCGGCCGAUGGCAGAUUAGGUAGUUGGUGAGGUAAAGGCUCACCAAGCCUUCGAUCUGUAGCUGGUCUGAGAGGACGACCAGCCACACUGGGACUGAGACACGGCCCAGACUCCGUACGGGGAGCAGCA